GGCUCGUGACUCUCCUCCAGCACUCCUCCGUUGGUAUGGCUGCCUCCGUUGGUAUGGCUGCCGCGGGUGGCGGCCAGCCACGAGGAGCAGCGCCUUAGCAUAACCAACACUAUGUGCUACAGUCAAGCCACAAAUGCUGGAGACAUUCUCUUCUUACUGUAGCUCCACAGAAGACAUGGUCAGCAGGCCUGGUGGCGCAGGCCUACAAUCUCUGCUACUCAGGAGGCCGAGGCAGGAGGAUUAUUCAUUGAAGGCUAGGAAGGGAAGACCUUUCCUCAAAAUAAAAAGUAAAGUUUCUGAAGAUAUACCGAGAUCUAGGAGGCAGGAUAUUCUGUUUAUAUGUUCACAAACAGUAUCCAGCCUUGUCUAUUUUGUUAGAUCAGUGGAAAAUGGAUAAACUCAUCAUGCAAUUCUGUGGUUCUACACCGAAGUAUAUUAUACCUCAAAGAACUGAAAGCAGAAACUCCAACACACAGUUGAACAUCAAUAGUCAUUGCAGCAUAAUUUGCAAAGGGAAAUGUUAAAAAAAAAUGUGUUCAUGUAACAGAUGAAUGAAUAAAAUGUGAUGCACACAUAAAA